UACAGAGGUGGCAAGCGUUGUUCGGAAUUACUGGGCGUAAAGGGCUCGUAGGCGGCCUGUCGCGUCGGGAGUGAAAGCCCACUGCUUAACGGUGGGUCUGCUUCCGGUACGGGCGGGCUGGAGUAUGGCAGGGGAGACUGGAAUUCCUGGUGUAGCGGUGGAAUGCGCAGAUAUCAGGAGGAACACCGGUGGCGAAGGCGGGUCUCUGGGCCAUUACUGACGCUGAGGCGCGAAAGCUAGGGGAGCAAACAGG
rnacentral:rRNA from 1 species